rnacentral:miRNA from 1 species
UUAUUUUGCGCGUCGCCACCAGAUGGCGCCAUCCCCCUCCCACUCGGGUCGUAGCCCCCCUGAGUUUCUAUUCGUCCUUUUGUGCCCCCCCCCCUCCCCUCCCCCCUGUUGACUCGGGCGCGGCUGGAUUGAUGCGGGGUGGGGUGGGGGGGUGGGUGGGGGGGUGGAGGGACCACAGAGAAGGAUAUCGACACACAGUUUCGGUCAAUAGAUGAUCAAUAGCUGAAACUUUAAAGUCCAAUCGGCGAAAAUAAAUAUCGGCGAGGGUCGAUCGAUUAACGGGGCGCAUAUGCGGCCGGUUGUACAAUUGGCAAUCGAUCUAACCGAUAUUGAUAGAUUGGUAUCGGGCCAUCAGAUUAAAUCAAUACGAUUGAUCUGUAAGCGCGAUCGAUGUAUCGGGCCGUUUGGGCCGCCAGACCCAAAUCGAUUGGCGGAUCGAUUAUGAAGAAAGGAAGACCCUCCCGCGCGCGCCGCGCCGGAGUUCGCGCCAUGCGGGUUUUUAGGGCCCUGCUCGGGCCCCCCCUCCACUUGGACAUCGCCCCCGCGCGGGCAAAAAAUCCAAUGGCGGAUAAUCGAGAGCUAUUGUAUUUUUGCGCCAGCGGGGG